AUCAUAUAUAAACAAAAUGUGUACCAGAUAAAAGACCAAAGUCUCAGGUAUAUAUUUCGUAUUCAUGUCAUUUUCAUAUCUUGUGUGAGUGCAGAGUUAUAAGCAAUCAAAUAGAGAGUGUGAACAUGUGACAUGAUGCCCCACCAUCGGGGAAGUUGUCUCACUACAUGGGGUAAGAUGUCACAGUGGAUUUUGCGGCUUAUAAAACAAGGACAAAAUUACUGUUGUUCUCAUUUUUUUACAUGAAAGUAAACAUCAAAGUCAGGCACAGAAAAUGUUUAUCAUUGAGAAAGAAAAAAUCAUUUAACAAACGUUAUAAGAUAUUAUCAACAUGCUCUAGAGUUUGAAGAGCUGUCUGACUUUGUAUCUUGGCUGAGGUGAAUGUUUUGCAGUACCGAGCCAUGGUGUGGUAGUUGACAUUAAAGUCCUUUAUUGUACUCCAGAUUGAUUUAUUAGCUAGGGUCACCUGUCUGACUGUUCUCAGCAUCACGUUAGGCACUGCACUGCCUUGCUCUGUUUUUCUUUUGUAAUUCCUGACCAUGGUUUCUCGCUUUCUCCUCUCCUUUAAACCACUCUUUUCUGUUAAAGUCAAAAUUUCUGUAUGACAACUGCUGAUAAGCAGACUCUCUAUGUUAAUUUUAAUCCCUUUUAAACAUGUGACAACUAACCCCAAAAUGACUGCUCACAAUUCACUCCUCUCUUCUCAGACAGGACACGACCCCUGACCAUGUAAAGGAAGAAAACUAGUAUUCCGCUUUUUAGUUAUGCCCUCUGGUGGCAAAGAUAAUUGCACUGUGACAACUUACCUGUGUGACAACAAGCCCCGGUCUCCCCUAUUCAAGAAUUAGGCCAUCCAGUUAAGAUAAAUGUUAUGUUGUUGGUUGUUAAAAUCUGGAUGAAAGAUAUUUUUUUUCUACUUUUCAUUUUUAUUUUUCGAUUUCCCCCCUGAGGGAUUGCCACCUUAUUGUGGUCAGGGGGUUUGUGUGCCUCAGCGACCCUAAGCGACCAGCAGGAGCUAUAGUCUUCAGGUGGGACACCCAAGUUCGACAGGUCUUAAGGUAGAGGCCUGACAGAGUGCAAUCCACUUCUCCAAGUUGAGAGCUAGACACACAGCUAACAACCCAUGCCUUGAAGAAAACACCAACAGUGUUAAAAAUGUGUAAAAAAAAAAGAAAAAGAAAAGAAAAAAAACAAAACCCUAACAUUUCUGACUGCACCCUCAUAUGUGCAUUCCUAGAACUAGCCCUGUUCAGGAUUCAGUUCAAUUCAUAGCUUCUAGGCUGGGAGAUGAGAGUGUUGUGGCUGUGUUGCUUUGACAAACAGGUUUGUAAAAAUGAAAUUGUUUAUAAAUCAUGAGGUUUUAAGUGUACUGUCCAAUGGUAUGCUAUUUAUCAGGUUUGCUCAGUAAAUUGGGCUCAGUGAGUGAUUUGUUCACGAAAAUGAUUAAAAGAAUUCACACUGAACAUGCACCGUUCCCUUGCAAACCGCUGCAAUGAUUGGAUACUGCAGGUUUUAUGCACUACUUGUUACAUGCUGUGUCCUAUUGUAUGCAAGUUGUUCUGGUGGCAAAAAAAGUUAGUUUUGUCAGACAAAAAUGAUUACAGAGUGUAUAGUUCACUGCGUGAUUCGUUCACCAAGUGAUUCAGGCGUCAGUGCAUGCGGUCCCUCGUUCGCCGGCUGCUCACUUGACAAUGCUGCGUGCUAUAGCAGCUGCACUGCUGACAACUCAACUGAAGUGAGAAAUGAACGAAUCACUUGAGGAAGUGAUUCGGUUCAGUACGUUCCCUUUGAAAGAUCUGGUUCUUUUGAAUGAGUCAUUCACAAAUGACACAACACUAGCUGCUGUGACAGAAUUACCUGGCUCUGUAUUUUUCUCUGUAUUACACUCCCCACAUACCCACGUAUGCAUGGACUUUUAUGUUGGUUUAAAUAUAUCUUGUGUUUUUUUCUUAAAGCAAGCUCCCAGAAUUGGUUGAUCUUUACUUUAUAUCAAAUAAAUGAGCCCUAACUCCACAGUAUGUUUUUUUAUGUUAUUUCAAUUCAUUUUUUUCAUUAUAGUUGGCCUACUAUUUAAUUUUUUUUAUUUUUACAUGGUCAUGCUAUGAGGGUAUUAAAGGACAUGGUUUGUGAAGGGUUAAGGCUAAGUUAUGCCGACUAGCUGCACUUCAAUAUUGAGGAUCAGCGUCCUCCACAUUUAGUUUAAAUAAGAGAAGGGGUACGCAUUUCAGUUGGGGGAAUGCUAAUGUAUCGCCCUCAUUUCUCACAGUUAAGCCACCCUCUCAUCCCUCCACACCACAAAAUACACUUAAAUCCACCUCCCUCAACCCUGAUUCAUCCUUUUUUACCAUGACCCCAAUUCAUUCCUGUCUACCUUGACCCUUGGCUACUAUCAUAAAAUCAGACAGACCUAAAAAAAAAAAAUGUAAUCAUACCAUUUUAGUAUAAAAAAAAAUGUUUUAACAUUACUGGCCAUCAUUAUUUUCAAUCAAGUUCAGGGCAGUUCAACAAUACUGGCAGGAUGCUGGAUGAGGGGGCCUGAUGAUCUCAGGACCGGUUUGGGAGGUCUUUGUGGAUGAACGGUGCCAAAUGUCUGAUGAGUCCAUGCAGGCUUCUGGGUCAGGCCAGAAUACAGAGGAGAGUUCAGAUAAGGUCACCAGUUAGAAAAAUACCAUUUAUUUAGAUUUUUUAAGUUUUAACUGCUGCUGGUCUCAAGCCACAGACUUUAGGUGACAUCUUGAGAGAAAAUUAUUCCAAUAUGUUUCCAAUUAGUGAAACAUUGCCUUUCAAUGGUAGUGAUCAGAUAAUGGAGUCUGUGUUUCACGUUGGACUCUUGAUGGUUUAAGGAUUUUAUCUGGGGACCAAAAAACAAACAAGCAAACAACUAAAACAAAGAAUAAUGGAAUUGUCCUCAAGUAUUGUACUUUUAGUGAAGCCCUAGCUGAACCUGACAAUGCUGCGUGCUCUAGCAGCUGACCUUUGGGGUCGCCACAGCGGCCGAUCCAAUAUGGCCGCCAAGUAUUGUACUUUUAGUGAAGCCCUAGCUGAACACACUUUUUCAUACAGUCCCAUAGUGCAGGUGCUGUCAUUCCCACCUGCUGCCAGCAGAGGACGUCACAUGCAUGAUGAAUAAUGCCGUUCUCUGGCUGUCCUAAGUACUGUCAGACGAGAGCCAAAGGUUCAUGGAAGGUGAAAUAAUUCCUUUUUUUGUCGAUUCCCACAGCUGGAUGAUGAUAUUGGUAGAACUGGUUUUAGACCCACAAAGGUCACAGUAUUUACCAGCUGACAGUGUCACAAAAAUACACUUUUAACAAGCAAUGCGUUUUGGGGGAAUUUUAAUAGUUGCCAAAUAAUAAUCACAGAAAGGACAAUCUCACAUUAAGGUGUGUUUUAUAUUUAAAAAGAAAAGAAGCUAAGUCCAUGAAGUCUCGGGAAAAAAGAUGGGAAUAGGUUCACCAUUCUGAGAGACUGUGGAUUUUGCCACUUUUUGGUAGGCCUAGCUGCAAUGAUCCAUAAGGCGACUGAAGUUGUAUGAGUACGGCUUUUUCUGAAAUGUUUUAAAUAAAAGGAAGCCUCGAUAUAGUGUCAAAAAUGAUUGGGGUGGCUCAUGAUGGCAUACCUUGUGACUCUAGAGCAAAGUUUGUCGUGCAAAGCCUCUCUUUCUGAGUUAUCUGCAUGAUUUCAAAGUCACUUCUGAACGCCACCCAGCAGGCCCAAAGUCAUCCUCUGAUUUUUACCAGUCCUUGAGGAGCUGAUGGGUCAACUAUUAAGACAAUGUCCCCAAUAUUAAAGUCCAUUUUUACUUGAGUGAUGAAGGACCAUGUACCUGUACACCAAGUACAACCUCCUGUCUUGAGAAAUGAAGCUGAUGUUCAAGUGCUAAAAAGUACAGUACUCCAAGGUCCCGCUUGAGGCUGGCUGCAGAAGCAUUACAAACCACGAACACAAAGAGCUCUAAAAGCCUGAGCAAAAAUAAACACAUUUACAGCCUGACUCAAAAACAGUUUGGUCUGAUACAUUGUGGCAAGAAGGAGAGUGAGGCAGGCCCUCCCUCCUCAGAGGUAAGGGGAGGGGCUUGCCACUCAUCAGAGUAAGUGAAUGCACCUGAGUGCUGAGAGAAGGAGAGGGCAGACAGACAGUGCAGGGCCAGGAGAGAGGUGACAGGAAAGUGAGACAAAGAAAAGUUUGUGAGCUGACUGGAGAAAUAAAACUGAAAGGACACCAGCAACGGAGAAACCCCCCCGGAGUGUGUGGAACCGACCGUCUCAAGGGUCAAUGGUCAGGCACUCGGAGCCUCCUCAUUCUGGAGUAAAACCUUGACUGUUAAACCAGCUCAGAUAAGUUGACGUUAAUUGUUUCCCGGCUUUCCCCGUCCUCUUGGUCCCUGUCUGGAUUCCCUGUUCCCUUCCACCUCCCCCCCCCCCCCAUACACCUACAACACUCCACACCACAUACCAACAAACUUGAACUGGACUCUUUUUUUUCACAUACACCCACAUAGCAUUCCCCCCACACACACACGUCACUCACACACUUACAUUUUGGACAUAUACAAAAGAACUGGACUUUACACACACACACACACACACACACACACACACACACACACUCAUUUAUUUUCUCAUUUUUGCUAUUUUUUAAGGAUCUUGGGACUAUUAUUUAAAGUUGUAUUUGGUUUUUGUUGAAUGCGGUUUUGUGCUAUUUUGAUUAGUUUGUCCCUGUUUUGCUUUAUUGAACAUUUAACUUUGAUAAAAAGUAUUUUUUCUUUACUCUCGAAUCUUUUGUUGAAAUUUUGUAGCAGGGGUAUCGUAUUUUCUUUAGAAUAUUUCUGUAGAUUAAGUCUCAGGGUAUUUUGAUUUUUUAUAAAUUCAUGAUAGGAUGAUUAGUUCCCCUGUCUGGCGCCCAACUCCAAACCUAACCUGAGCCCUCUUUUUGAACCCCUACGCUACAGAAAUGGCGCCCAACGUGGGGCCCUAAACCACGAAAUGUGCUGAGUUAAUUGUUUCGGUUCUAACCAUGCGAUUAUUUCAUUAUUUCAUUUAUUCUAUUACCAUUAAUUGGGGUUGAAUUACACCUGAUCGCUUUGAAUAUUGAAUCUUGAUUGAACUUUGAUUGAAUCAAUUGAUUGAGUAACUGUUUUUGUGGCAUGAGUUUGAUUGUGGUGACAAAUUAUACUUGAAUGUGGUAAUUUCUUGAAAAAGUAAUUCAUUCUCUGCUUAACACAAAAUGUCUAAUCAGAAGUCUCUUGGUGACCUUGAUAUAGAAGCUCCUGAUGUGCAGACACCUGUACGUGUUUAUGGCACAGACACAGCAUUUAGUGCACACUUGCAAACAUAUUUUCAGACACCACUGCCCCCUUCAGUAAAGGCAUCUGAAACUCAUGACCUUGCCCAAUUUCCCUCCCACUUUGAACCUGCCCAGUCACUAAACCAGUCACUUACUUGGGAAACAGAAGCGGUACCUUCUUUGCCUGACCCAGGAGGAGGCCAUUUCGCGUUUUCAGCCUCGUCCCCAUAUUCACUGUCUCAGUCUCAGUGCGAACUCCCAAAAACCCUCCCCACUCCUGCACGGAACUUAAACCAAAUUGCAGAAAAAACCCAGGAAGGUUGGGAUAGGAUCCAUAAAGAAAUGGAAACACAAAGUGUUGCAAUGAAACACCUGACAGCGUGUGUUGAAGGAAUUCAAACAUCUUCUACUAAACACUUUAAAGAUCUAAUGAAUAAAGCCCGUGACAAUCAUCGGCUGCUUCUGUCACAUAUCAUUUCUCAUAAGGAAAGUGUGGAAACGGAAAUGGAUAAACUUGUGAAAGGAAUUAAAAUGGUUGUGGACGAAGAGCUGAAAAACUCUGAGACAUCUCUUCUUUCAGAAAUUCGCUUCAUGGUCGAACAACUUCAAGUGGAACUUCAGAAGGAAAUUAAAUGCUUUCACACUACUGCUCAGGAAAGUAUCUGUCAAUUGGUGGACACAGUUAACGAAAGUAGCUCUGCAAUCACAAAACUGACCAUCCAACUUGGAAAAGAAGAAACGGAGAGGAAAGAACAAAUGCAAGACCUUGAACAGAAAAUCAUCUUACUGGACAGACGACUCGAAUCUUUUUUGGUAGAAGGUAAAUCUACCUCUGCUUAUCCAUGUUCCAGUCCUUGUUCAGGGGAGAAAACUCCAACCUCACUUGCAGCCCCUAAUUUAGCGGUUACAAAGAGUGAUCACAUUAAGUUAACCUUUCCUACAUAUGGUGGGAUACAUGAUGAUCCUGAUCCCCUCAGUUAUCUGUCAAAGUGUCAUGACUUUCUUGCUCUUCAUCCUUUGUCAGAUGCUGAUAUUCUUGCCACUUUCAGAACUGUUCUCCGGGGAACAGCCCGCGACUGGUGGGAAAUUGCCCGAUCUAAGGUUGUUACUUGGAAUCAAUUUGAGACAGUUUUCCUUGCAGCUUUCCUUGCAGAAGAUUAUGAGGAUGAAUUAGCAGAGCGUGUUCGAACCAAGAAACAGCAUGAAAAUGAAACUAUCAGAGACUUUGCUUUCUCAUAUAGAGCUCUUUGUAAAAGAUGGAAACCCUCUCUCACAGAAGCUAAUAUUGUUAAGAUGAUUCUGAAAAACAUCAAACCUUUUCUUGCUAGUCAACUCCGGGGUCGUGUUGACACUGUGGAAGAUCUGGUGCGCCUUGGUCAUCAACUUGAAAAAGAUCAUGAACAGCAGCUUGAGUACAAUUCAAGAAUGUGUGCUAAAAACAUUAAUCCUCUUUCUAAAACCAUGCACUCAGGUCCACCUGUUGAAAAGAACAGACCACCUGUCUUAUGCUGGAGAUGUAAAGGUAACCACCUUCCUGGCUCUUGUCCACAUUACAGCACACCAGAACCUUUCAGUCAUUCUCCCAGGAUACCUAAACACUUGUCACGCCCACCAAAGACAAAAGCUCUGCCUGGAAAAGGCUCUGUCUCCCUUGUAAAAUCAAGAAAAUCUGGAAAGCAGCCAACUCGGCAACCACAGAGGAAUGGAUCCACCUCAGAGAGUUCUGGCCCUCCACCCGAUUCUUCCUCUAGUCCCCUACAACUUAUUGUGCCUCUCUCCAUAAAUUCAUGGCAUGGAAAAGCUAUAGUUGACACUGGGGCCAGUUACACUCUCAUUCAUGAGUAUCUUUGGCGGGAACUGAAGGGUACCAGAGACAUCCUUCGACCUUGGACAGAAGGUCCACUGUAUCUGGCUAAUGGUGAACCGGCUACUUCCAUUGGAUCGGGAGACCUCACCAUGGCUCUCCAUGGACAUGCCUCCACUUUACCUGUAGCGGUAUUGGGACCAAACGCUCUGGCGUAUAGUGUUGUUCUUGGCCUGAACCUCAUUUCCAGUGUUGGAAUGAUCAUCAAUGUGGCUGAUAAGGAGUAUAGCUUUAAGUCAAUGCCCUCUGUUGCUUACCCAUUCCAGCCUGGCAGUGCCCACUACACACAGACAAGAGACCGUGACAAAAAAGUCACUCAAAUGACCCCCAACAGAUCAGCCCUGAAUCUUUCACUGAUAAGUUCUGUUCCACCUCCCAUUCUCUCUCUGGAGCCUGCUCGAAUGGAUGUGAAAGAUUACAUCGAUGUUGCUGUGAAGGAUGCUCAUUUGGAGGACAGUGACAAGAAACUGUUAAGAAAUCUCCUUGAGUCUAGCCCACAAGUUUGUACUAACCAGCCUGGUAAGACGGAUGUUUUGCAGCACACCAUCUAUACCACUGCCUGUGUGCCUAUCAAACAAAGACCUUAUAGACUCUCACCUGUCAAGCAAGUUAUCGUGGAAGAACAAUUAGGUGAGAUGCUGGCUACUGGAGUCAUUGAACCCUCUCACUCAGGAUGGGCAUCUCCUGUUGUCUUACCUCCAAAAAAAGAUGGCGGUCAUAGAUUCUGUGUUGAUUUCCGAAAAGUCAAUGCUGUCACUGAAACUGAUGCCUAUCCUCUCCCAAACAUCAAUGAAAUCC
rnacentral:lncRNA from 1 species